rnacentral:tmRNA from 3 species
GAUCUUGACAGCGGCGGGCAUCGCUCCUACCUGUAUCCUGCUCUUCGGAGCUAUGGACAUAAACGACUGUCUUACUAGUUGGACUGGACUCGGCUGCGAAGCCGACGCCUCCACCAAAACUCCCUCAUUGGGGGCCUAUGGGGGCGAAAUAGGAUCGACAGACGGUGAACGGGCUGUUCUUUGUCUCGGUGAGCUACCACCGUUAUCGGUGCAAAACGUACAGUUGCCAAUGACAACCGUGCUCCGGUCGCUCUUGCUGCGUAAGCAGUUCGGGUACCGAAACUAAAGCCCUUAUGCUUAGCCGUAUAAGGCGGGGUUCGCAGGUACCUGGCAACAGAAACCUGCACU